UUGACAGCACUUGAAAGUGAAGGCCUACAUUUAUCCACAGAACAGCAAUGUGGACUUAUUUAUCAUGCCCCAUCAAUGAGGUUAAAUUCUGGUCCUAAGGAUCACACUUAAGGUAGAAAGGAUGAUUCAUCUGAAUGCACAUUCAAUCCUUGGUAUCU
rnacentral:sRNA from 1 species